rnacentral:ribozyme from 1 species
UUUUUUUUUUUUUUUUUUUUUUUUUUUUUUUUUUUCCAAAUGGAAAAAGGCAUCGUGAUUCUUACAAAAAGUGA